ACGAACGCUGGCGGCGUGCUUAACACAUGCAAGUCGAACGGUAAGGCCCCUUCGGGGUACACGAGUGGCGAACGGGUGAGUAACACGUGGGUGAUCUGCCCUGCACUCUGGGAUAAGCCUGGGAAACUGGGUCUAAUACCGGAUAUGAGCUCCUGUCGCAUGGCGGGGGUUGGAAAGGUUUACUGGUGCAGGAUGGGCCCGCGGCCUAUCAGCUUGUUGGUGGGGUAAUGGCCUACCAAGGCGACGACGGGUAGCCGGCCUGAGAGGGCGACCGGCCACACUGGGACUGAGACACGGCCCAGACUCCUACGGGAGGCAGCAGUGGGGAAUAUUGCACAAUGGGCGAAAGCCUGAUGCAGCGACGCCGCGUGAGGGAUGACGGCCUUCGGGUUGUAAACCUCUUUCAGCAGGGACGAAGCGAGAGUGACGGUACCUGCAGAAGAAGCACCGGCCAACUACGUGCCAGCAGCCGCGGUAAUACGUAGGGUGCGAGCGUUGUCCGGAAUUACUGGGCGUAAAGAGCUCGUAGGCGGUUUGUCGCGUCGUCCGUGAAAACUUGGGGCUCAACCCCAAGCUUGCGGGCGAUACGGGCAGACUUGAGUACUGCAGGGGAGACUGGAAUUCCUGGUGUAGCGGUGAAAUGCGCAGAUAUCAGGAGGAACACCGGUGGCGAAGGCGGGUCUCUGGGCAGUAACUGACGCUGAGGAGCGAAAGCGUGGGUAGCGAACAGGAUUAGAUACCCUGGUAGUCCACGCCGUAAACGGUGGGCGCUAGGUGUGGGUUUCCUUCCACGGGAUCCGUGCCGUAGCUAACGCAUUAAGCGCCCNGCCUGGGGAGUACGGCCGCAAGGCUAAAACUCAAAGGAAUUGACGGGGGCCNGCACAAGCGGCGGAGCAUGUGGAUUAAUUCGAUGCAACGCGAAGAACCUUACCUGGGUUUGACAUAUACCGGAAAGCCGUAGAGAUACGGCCCCCCUUGUGGUCGGUAUACAGGUGGUGCAUGGCUGUCGUCAGCUCGUGUCGUGAGAUGUUGGGUUAAGUCCCGCAACGAGCGCAACCCUUGUCCUGUGUUGCCAGCGCGUAAUGGCGGGGACUCGCAGGAGACUGCCGGGGUCAACUCGGAGGAAGGUGGGGACGACGUCAAGUCAUCAUGCCCCUUAUGUCCAGGGCUUCACACAUGCUACAAUGGCCGGUACAGAGGGCUGCGAUACCGUGAGGUGGAGCGAAUCCCUUAAAGCCGGUCUCAGUUCGGAUCGGGGUCUGCAACUCGACCCCGUGAAGUCGGAGUCGCUAGUAAUCGCAGAUCA
rnacentral:rRNA from 2 species